GCUGCGGUGUCCGAGUGGUUAAGGAGAUGGACUUGAAAUCUAUUGGGCUCUGCCCGCGCAGGUUCGAAUCCUGUCCGCAGCG
rnacentral:tRNA from 1 species